UUGAUAGAGUAGAAGAAACGGGAGGAAAGAAACAGAGGGAAAACCCUAGCCCUCUUCUUCGUCCAUCCUUCUUUCUGAGUUUUGGAGACGUAUAAGUGGGAUUUUGUAGGAAGUCCGAUAACAAAAAUUGCUCUUCUCAUCAUUCUCUACGUGUCUACAUAUCAGAAAUUUCGAUUUGGAGUAAUUUGGUUCACCUAGUAAAGGAGCUCUUGAAGGUAGUGUUUUGCAAUCUUCUCAAGAGCUGGGUGGGCAAGGUAAGCGGCCAAACAGCUCUUUUCUGCCACUUAUGGAUACCUUCUAAAUGAAGGACAAAAAGACUACUGGUAUUAGGAAACGGCAUGUUCUAAAGGAGGAGGAUGGAGAAUUAGUAAAAAUGAAAGUCACUCAACAAUUGACAAGGCGGGGAAAGUCAUUCACACCGAAUGAAGAUGUAGCAAUUUGCAAUGCUUGGUUGAGUGUCACCCAAGAUCCAAUUGUUGGUAACUCGUAAUCACAAAGUAAUUUUUGGAGUCGGAUAUUCCAAAAUUAUCUUGAUCGCAACAUCAAUGAAAAUGUACGAACACAAGUUUCUAUCCAAUCUGGUUGGGGCAUAAUCAUGAAGUGUUGUGGUAAAUAUAGUGGGUGCCUCACACAAAUUGAAAAUAGGCAACAAAGUGGAAUCAAUGAAACAAAUAAGGUUUUUUAAGCAAAAAGUAUGUAUUAUGAACAUGAGAAGAAACAUUUUUCUUUGGAUCACUGUUGGGCGAUCUUGGAACAUUGCAUUAAGUGGGAAGAUUGGGCAUCCUCCAAAAAGCCAAAGUCUCUUGCAAUUACUCCAUGUUCCUCGACCUCAUCCCAUAUUCCUGAAACAUUCAUUUCACUCAAUUCCGAUCAAGUUCUAACUGGAAUUGCUAUUGACUCCCCAAGAACCAAAAGGUCUAGUGGAAGGAAAGUUGCAAAAGAAGCAUGUAGGAAAAGCAAGAUAGCAGAUACUUCAUAUACUCGUGUUUGUGAUUUGAUGGAAAAAUUUAAUAAAAAUGCAAGUGAGAGUAAAACGAAAAAGUUCGAAAUAGAAGAAAGAAAAGUUAGAGUAAUGGAGGAAAUGAAUCAAAGGGAGCAAGAAAAGAAAGAAGCCAAGGAAAAAGAAAGAUGAUAUGAUUAUGAUGAUAGACCUUUCCAGCAUGGAUCCUCGGAUGAGAUUCUUGCCAAAUUGCAAGCACGCUUCUGCAAACCUUGAUUAUUAUGUUUCUCUUCCUCAUUUCCAUGAUUAUCUACUUUUUUUUGUUAUGCUUAUGUAUUUAUUUUGAAUUGCCAUUAUGGAUUUUAUUGAAUUGUAGUAUUGAAAUGCCAAA